GUGUUCACUUUGAAAGUACACAUAGUAAAACUUGAAUGAUGCAGAGAUUAGUAUGUCCUCUGUGUAAAAAUGAUAUGUACAUGUGUUACUUACUCCAUAUUUAU